GAGAGGCAACGGCUCACCAAGGCAUCGACGGGUAGCUGGUCUGAGAGGAUGAUCAGCCACACUGGAACUGAGACACGGUCCAGACUCCUACGGGAGGCAGCAGUGGGGAAUCUUGCACAAUGGGCGAAAGCCUGAUGCAGCGAUGCCGCGUGCGGGAAGAAGGCCUUAGGGUUGUAAACCGCUUUCAGGAGGGAAGAAAAUGACGGUACCUCCAGAAGGAGGUGCGGCCAACUACGUGCCAGCAGCCGCGGUGACACGUAGGCACCAAGCGUUAUCCGGAUUUAUUGGGCGUAAAGAGCUCGUAGGCGGUUUGGUAAGUCGGGUGUGAAAACUCUGGGCUCAACCCAGAGAGGCCACUCGAUACUGCUAUGACUAGAGUACGGUAGGGGAGCGGGGAAUUCCUGGUGUAGCGGUGAAAUGCGCAGAUAUCAGGAGGAACACCAGCGGCGAAGGCGCCGCUCUGGGCCGUAACUGACGCUGAGGAGCGAAAGCAUGGGUAGCAAACAGGAUUAGAUACCCUGGUAGUCCAUGCCGUAAACGUUGGGCACUAGGUGUGGGUCUCAACCAACGAGAUCCGCGCCGUCGCUAACGCAUUAAGUG
rnacentral:rRNA from 1 species